rnacentral:rRNA from 1 species
UACGGGAGGCAGCAGUGGGGAAUAUUGCACAAUGGGGGAAACCCUGAUGCAGCGACGCCGCGUGAGCGAUGAAGUAUUUCGGUAUGUAAAGCUCUAUCAGCAGGGAAGAAAAUGACGGUACUUGACUAAGAAGCACCGGCUAAAUACGUGCCAGCAGCCGCGGUAAU